GAAAUGCGAUACUUGGUGUGAAUUGCAGAAUCCCGUGAACCAUCGAGUCUUUGAACGCAAGUUGCGCCCGAAGCCAUUAGGCCGAGGGCACGCAAUAACA
rnacentral:misc_RNA from 1 species